GACGAAGGGGGCUAGCGUUGUUCGGAAUUACUGGGCGUAAAGCGAGUGUAGGUGGUUGUUCAAGUUGGAUGUGAAAGCCUUGAGCUCAACUCAAGAAAAUGCAUUCAGGACUGAGCGACUAGAGGACCGGAGAGGAUAGUGGAAUUCCCAGUGUAGUGGUGAAAUACGUAGAGAUUGGGAAGAACACCAGUGGCGAAGGCGGCUCACUGGCCCGAUACUGACGCUGAGGCACGAAAGCGUGGGGAGCAAACGGG
rnacentral:rRNA from 1 species